rnacentral:rRNA from 1 species
UGGCGGACGGGUGAGUAACGCGUGGGUAACCUGCCUCAUAGAGGGGGACAACAGUUGGAAACGACUGCUAAUACCGCAUAAGCCCACGGGUCGGCAUCGACCAGAGGGAAAAGGAGCAAUCCGCUUUGAGAUGGUCUCGCGUCCGAUUAGCUAGUUGGUGAGGUAAUGGCCCACCAAGGCGACGAUCGGUAGCCGGACUGAGAGGUUGAACGGCCACAUUGGGACUGAGACACGGCCCAGACUCCUACGGGAGGCAGCAUG